AGGAACUCAUCAACUUGUUGCAGACUUUGCUUUCGGUCCUUUGCAAAUAGAAGUUUUGUGCUGACUAGUUGGAUAAGUCCAGCAGAACCUAACAGUUGAAGUAAUGUUUCCGCCUCUGAGAACACCAAAAGUCCAAACGCAGCAGCUGCGGCAACACCCAAACCUACAGCGACAGAAUCAGAACCCUCCCCAAAAAGACCAUCAAGAACAUCAGACAGGCCCAGAUCAAGACUAAAUGUUUUCUUAGGAAGUAUCCAAGGGAGGCCACUAUUCUUCCAUCCUCGGGGACCUUCAG
rnacentral:misc_RNA from 1 species